rnacentral:rRNA from 1 species
GAUUAACGCUAGCGGCAGGCAUAAUACAUGCAAGUUGAACGGCAGCACAGGUAGCAAUACUGGGUGGCGAGUGGCGCACGGGUGCGUAACACGUAUGCAACCUACCCUAUACAGGCGAAUAACCUUUAGAAAUUAGGGCUAAUACGCCGUAGUAUUACAGAUGGGCAUCUAUUUGUAAUUAAAGAUUUAUCGGUAUAGGAUGGGCAUGCGUCCCAUUAGUUAGUUGGUAAGGUGACGGCUUACCAAGACGAUGAUGGGUAGGGGAUCUGAGAGGACUUACCCCCACACUGGUACUGAGACACGGACCAGACUCCUACGGGAGGCAGCAGUAAGGAAUAUUGGGCAAUGGCCGCGAGGCUGACCCAGCCAUGCCGCGUGCAGGAAGACGGCCUUAUGGGUUGUAAACUGCUUUUAUACGGGAAUAAUAGAGUGUACGCGUACAUUUAUGCAAGUAUCGUAUGAAUAAGCAUCGGCUAACUCCGUG